UGGGGAAUAUUGCACAAUGGGCGCAAGCCUGAUGCAGCCAUGCCGCGUGUAUGAAGAAGGCCUUCGGGUUGUAAAGUACUUUCAGUCGGGAGGAAGGUGGUAAGGUUAAUAACCUUAUCAAUUGACGUUACCGACAGAAGAAGCACCGGCUAACUCCGUGCCAGCAGCCGCGGUAAUACGGAGGGUGCAAGCGUUAAUCGGAAUUACUGGGCGUAAAGCGCACGCAGGCGGUCUGUCAAGUCGGAUGUGAAAUCCCCGGGCUCAACCUGGGAGCUGCAUUCGAAACUGGCAGGCUAGAGACUUGUAGAGGGGGGUAGAAUUCCAGGUGUAGCGGUGAAAUGCGUAGAGAUCUGGAGGAAUACCGGUGGCGAAGGCGGCCCCCUGGACAAAGACUGACGCUCAGGUGCGAAAGCGUGGGGAGCAAACAGG
rnacentral:rRNA from 1 species